CCAGGGCUGGGAUCACAGAGUCUCCCACCCCCUUGUCCUCCUCUUCAGCCUGAGCCUCACGUCGGGAAAAGACCCAAUGAGAGCCGUCGCCAGCGUCUCCACGUGGGGCCGUACCACAGCCUCAAACAUGCAUCCGGGACAGGAGGAGGGGCGCACCCAAACUGCCAGACAGAACUGCCGCAGCUUCUGGGAAUCAGCACUUUCAAAAACAAAAAUUGCGUGGUUAUUUUACGAGUAGCCCCGUCAUCUCUAGGACGUUACAGGUGGUUGGGGAAGCCCUGCGUCAGGAGGUGUGCUGGAGUCAUUGACGCCUUCACCCAGAGCUCGCUGAGCCGCUGCUGUGGGCCAGGCAGGGGCAGCGCGGGCCCUGGCGUAGAGCAGCGGGCUGCACACAGCCCUGGACACGGCGACCUCCGGCAGUCGAGUUGGCACCCUGAGUCGGCCUGCGACGGGGCGUGUGAGCCGGAAAGGUUCCUCAUCUAUGAAAGGAAUUACAGUGAGGGAGAAACGGGAAGCUGUGGUCCCUGGCACCUGGAAGCCCUGCAUAAAGGCCUCUUGAACUCUGAGUGGACAGCAAGCUGGUCCAGCAGGAGGCGAAGUCAACAACAACAGCCACGGCGAAUGCUGCUCAGAGCUUGCUCCACGUCGCGCUCCUUGAAGUACAGGCUUUGUGCGUAUUCACUUAUUA